CGAGAAUUUUUCACAAUGGGCGAAAGCCUGAUGGAGCGACGCCGCGUGGGGGAUGAAGGGCUUCGGCUCGUAAACCCCUGUCAUUUGCGAACAAAGGCGCCAACCUAACACGUUGUUGUCUGACAGUAGCAGAAGAGGAAGGGACGGCUAACUCUGUGCCAGCAGCCGCGGUAAUACAGAGGUCCCAAGCGUUGUUCGGAUUCACUGGGCGUAAAGGGUGCGUAGGUGGUGAAUUAAGUCGGGUGUAAAAUCUCCGGGCUCAACCCGGAGCGUGCGCCCGAAACUGAUUUGCUAGAGGAUAGGAGGGGAGACUGGAAUUCUCGGUGUAGCAGUGAAAUGCGUAGAUAUCGAGAGGAACACCGGUGGCGAAGGCGUGUCUCUGGACUAUUCCUGACACUGAAUCACGAAAGCCGGGGGAGCAAAC
rnacentral:rRNA from 1 species